UACAGCCACACCACAUUGAAACACUGGUCCCAUACAAUCACCAAAGUUAAGCAAUGUCAAGCCUAGUCAGUACCUAGAUGGGUGACUGUUUGGGAAUACUAAAUGCUGUAGU